CCUACGGGUGGCUGCAGUGGGGAAUAUUGCACAAUGGGCGCAAGCCUGAUGCAGCCAUGCCGCGUGUGUGAAGAAGGCCUUCGGGUUGUAAAGCACUUUCAGCGGGGAGGAAGGCGUUAAGGUUAAUAACCUUGGCGAUUGACGUUACCCGCAGAAGAAGCACCGGCUAACUCCGUGCCAGCAGCCGCGGUAAUACGGAGGGUGCAAGCGUUAAUCGGAAUUACUGGGCGUAAAGCGCACGCAGGCGGUCUGUCAAGUCGGAUGUGAAAUCCCCGGGCUCAACCUGGGAACUGCAUUCGAAACUGGCAGGCUGAGUCUUGUAGAGGGGGGUAGAAUUCCAGGUGUAGCGGUGAAAUGCGUAGAGAUCUGGAGGAAUACCGGUGGCGAAGGCGGCCCCCUGGACAAAGACUGACGCUCAGGUGCGAAAGCGUGGGGAACAAACAGGAUUAGAUACCCCUGUAGUC
rnacentral:rRNA from 1 species